rnacentral:rRNA from 1 species
AGAGUUUGAUCCUGGCUCAGGACGAACGCUGGCGGCGUGCUUAACACAUGCAAGUCGAACGGAAAGGCCCUUCGGGGUACUCGAGUGGCGAACGGGUGAGUAACACGUGGGUGAUCUGCCCUGCACUUUGGGAUAAGCCUGGGAAACUGGGUCUAAUACCGAAUACACCUUGCUGGUUGCAUGACCUGGUGGGGGAAAGCUUUUGCGGUGUGGGAUGGGCCCGCGGCCUAUCAGCUUGUUGGUGAGGUUAUGGCUUACCAAGGCUGACGACGGGUAGCCGGCCUGAGAGGGUGACCGGCCACACUGGGACUGAGAUACGGCCCAGACUCCUACGGGAGGCAGCAGUGGGUGAAUAUUGCACAAUGGGCGCAAGCCUGAUGCAGCGACGCCGCGUGAGGGAUGACGGCCUUCGGGUUGUAAACCUCUUUCAGCUCCGACGAAGCGCAAGUGACGGUAGGAGUAGAAGAAGGACCGGCCAACUAAGUGCCAGCAGCCGCGGUA